UACGUAGGGACCGAGCGUUGUCCGGAAUCAUUGGGCGUAAAGAGUGUGUAGGCGGCUUGCUAAGUCUUGCGUGAAAUCUCGGGGCUCAACCCCGAGCGGUCGUGGGAAACUGGCAGGCUAGAGUGCGGGAGAGGAGAAUGGAAUUCCUGGUGUAGCGGUGAAAUGCGCAGAUAUCAGGAGGAACACCGAUGGCGAAGGCAGGUCUCUGGGCCGAUACUGACGCUGAGGAGCGAAAGCGUGGGGAGCGAACAGG
rnacentral:rRNA from 1 species